GCUUGUCUCAAAGAUUAAGCCAUGCAUGUCUAAGUAUAAGCCUUUAUAUGGUGAGACUGCGAAUGGCUCAUUAAAUCAGAAACUGUUUAUUUGAUAGUGCCUACUACAUGGAUACCUGUAGUAAUUCUAGAGCUAAUACAUGCAAAAAAUCCCGACUUUUGAAGGGAUGUAUUUAUUAGAUAAAAAGCCAAUACACCCUCUGGGUGGUUUGUGGUGAUUCAUAAUAACUGAUCGAAUCGCAUGGCCUCGUGCUGGCGAUAGUUCAUUCAAAUUUCUGCCCUAUCAGCUUUCGACGGUAGUGUAGUGGACUACCGUGGCAUUAACGGGUGACGGAGAAUUAGGGUUCGAUUCCGGAGAGGGAGCCUGAGAAAUGGCUACCACAUCCAAGGAAGGCAGCAGG
rnacentral:rRNA from 1 species